UUUAGUUUCAUUUCCAGCAAGCGGUUUUGUACAGGAAAAGAACGGUAUUUUAGAUGUAGAAACUGACUGGCAAAUGAAUUCUGAGAUCGUUUCCAUGAAAGAAAGAGAGAGAGAGAGAGAGAAAGGAAGGAAGGAAGGAAGGAAGGAAGGAAGGAAAAGAGAGACAAAAGCUUUUCGGAUGCUUUUCAAGAGGCAAAAUGCUGUCUGCCAAUUUGUUUGUUUUUAAUCGUCCAGAUCAGAUUCAUAGGUCGAAAGGAGAAAGAAAGGAGAAAGGAGGAAGGGGGAAAGGAAGGAAGGAGUAAAGGAGGAAGGAACAGAAAGUUUCACAGGUCCUGAGAGAAAGAAGAGCGAAAUAGAGAAAGAGGAAAAAGAGAGAGAGAGAAGAGAGAAAGGAGGGAAGGAAGGAAGGAACAGAGAGACAAGAGCUUUUUCGGAUGCUUUCAACUGGCAAAAUGCUACACGGGGAAAAUGGCUGAGUCUGACUGGAAAUCCCUCUGAAAUGGAGAAGGGGCUCCGAUUCCAAGGGCUCCCUCCUCUUGCUUCCCGUGUAUUUUACAGUGCAAGGGCUGGAGCCAGGCUGGCGACCAGGAGAUCUGUCAAAGCCUCCCAGGGCACUCCUCCUCCGGUCUGGAGUUAGGGAACUUUUCUAAGCCUCUUGCUUCUCUCUGGUGCCACAACAAACGCCCCUUCCCAGAAUUCCAGAGCAUGGAGCGAUGGCAGUUAAAGUGGUCUCAGACCGGAUUAUUUCCGCAGUGCGGAUGCAGCCUGAGUCCACCCCUCCCAGGGCUGAAGAGUCUCUCCUGCUUGGUCCUUUCUGUCCUUCCCCCCAAGCAAAAGAAGAGAAACAUCUACGAAGGAGGAAACGCAGCAACAACUGGGUCAACAACAACAACAACAACAACAAAAGCCAUUUCCAGCCCAAAUCCUCCCAAAUAUCACCCCAUACAAACCCGUAUUAACGAAAGUGACAGCCUCUCUUUUAAUCCUGAUUUGUUUUAAAAACUUUUUUUUAGAGCUACAUCGCAGAGGCAGGGAUUCAGGGGGUUAAAUCCGAAGAGUUUAGAAGUUUCUGAAAGCUUUCUGGGAUUUCUGUUCCUGGCCGGGUGGCGGCAAAGAAAUGGCCAUAAAGAAACGCAUGACAACUUGGCUGCCCAAACUCACCAGCCCCCCAGGCAGACUUGUCCAAAUGUUUUGCUUUGAAGAUGCUACUCAGAAUAGUAGAGAAGAGGGGGCUUUGGACAGGCCCGACUUUGUUGCAACGAGGGUUUAAUUUAUUUUUUUUAAAAAAGAAAAAAAAAAAAAAUAAUUAAAAUAAUUAAACUAAAACUCAAGGUGUCCGAAGGCUGCAGUCUUACUGCGUUUGGUUCAGGACGCUUGAUCGGAUUUGGAUCCAAAAGCAUCCUGACAUUACAGCUUCUUUCUGGUUUAAU